GACGUAGGGUGCGAGCGUUGUCCGGAUUUAUUGGGCGUAAAGAGCUCGUAGGCGGCUCGUCGCGUCGACCGUGAAAACCCGCGGCUUAACUGCGGGCUUGCGGUUGAUACGGGCGGGCUAGAGUUCGGCAGGGGAGACUGGAAUUCCUGGUGUAGCGGUGAAAUGCGCAGAUAUCAGGAGGAACACCGGUGGCGAAGGCGGGUCUCUGGGCCGAUAUUGACGCUGAGGAGCGAAAGCGUGGGGAGCGAACAGG
rnacentral:rRNA from 1 species